rnacentral:rRNA from 1 species
UACGUAGGGCGCGAGCGUUGUCCGGAAUUAUUGGGCGUAAAGAGCUCGUAGGCGGCCUGUUGCGUCCGCUGUGAAAUCCCAGGGCUCAACCCCGGGUCUGCAGUGGGUACGGGCAGACUAGAGUGCAGUAGGGGAGACUGGAAUUCCUGGUGUAGCGGUGAAAUGCGCAGAUAUCAGGAGGAACACCGAUGGCGAAGGCAGGUCUCUGGGCUGUAACUGACGCUGAGGAGCGAAAGCAUGGGGGAGCGAACAGG